AUGCCCACUUGUAUAAGGGAUGAAGUUAGAUGUCUGGACCCAGCGUAUUACUUUCAAUGUUCAAGAGCAUGUGGAUGUACAGGUUCUUGUCUGGAUUCAAAUGCUGGGUGUCUUGACGCAUCUACGAUUUGUAUAGACAAAGAUGAAAGAAGGAGGUGUCCAAGAUUUUGCGGUGUUUGCGAAGGCUGUAACAACUUGGUUCAUGACGAUAUAUGUGGAAGAAAUUUACAUAGGUGUAAUGAAUACAAUGUAAAGUAUUUGUGUGCCCAAACUUGUG
rnacentral:lncRNA from 1 species